GGCUUUUGACACAAGGUGCCCAUGGGCGCCCAAGGCGGGCCCACACGUGAGCACGUUUCCCGAGGCGAUGGAAGAGUUGACUGGACGAAGACCAAGUGGACCCCACGCAUGCACGCUUCCCGAGGCAAACAAGCAAAAUUUUGCAGACGAAGGUCGGGUUAACGAGUGAGCAGGUUCGAGAUGGAUCGACGGUGCGCGCUAUUUCGCAAAGGGAAGAUGCACGCGAGUUAAGGCUGCGAAAUAGCGAAAGUGAACGAGAUCCAUCCACGUGGCACGUAGGUGGCGAUGACGUGGCAUACAAGCAAGCGGCCAAGUGGCAGUGACGAAGCAGAUGACGUGGCGAUGAUGAGGUGUCAUCCCAGGUGGCAUCCGGUCAACCCCAUCAGCCAAUCAGAGGCCGCCACGUGGCAAGGCGUCAGAGCACAAAUGGAGGCAAAAAUCAAAUUUUAAAUGAAUAAAUGAUAUAGUUUAGACUAUAUUGAAAUUCGAAAUAUUUAAAUGAUGGAUCCAUGAUGAGAAUUAAUUCGCCCAGGGUCCAAUUUUU